rnacentral:rRNA from 1 species
AGAGAGAGACAUGCGCGCAUAUCAAUAAGCGGAGGAAAAGAAACUAACAAGGAUUCCCUUAGUAACGGCGAGUGAAGCGGGAAGAGCUCAAAUUUGAAAUCUUCAAGGUUUUACCUUGACGAAAUUGUAGUUUAAAGAAGUGUUUCUCUGCUGAAGUUUUGGUAAAAGUUCUUUGGAAUAGGGACAUCAUAGAGGGUGAGAAUCCCGUAUUUGACCAUUAUUUUCAGCUUUGUGAUACACUUUCAAAGAGUCGGAUUGUGUGGGAAUGCAGUCCAAAAUGGGUGGUAAAUUUCAUCUAAAGCUAAAUAUUGGCGAGAGACCGAUAGCGAACAAGUACCGUGAGGGAAAGAUGAAAAGAACUUUGAAAAGAGAGUUAAACAGUACGUGAAAUUGUCAAAAGGGAAGCGUUUGACACCAGUGUUGUUUUCUCGAAAAUCAAUUAAAAAUGGCUCGAUUUUGUAUUGCUGAGACCUUAAAAGCUCACUGUACAUUUUUCGUGUCUUUUUUAAUGCACUUUUCGUUUAACAAGUCAACAUCAGUUUCUUUUGUUGUAAAAGGGUCAUUGGAAGGUGGCCUUCUUUUCGGAGAAAGUGUUUAUAGCCUUUGGCCUCUGCAAUCGAAGAGACUGAGGUCUGCAGCGUAGACUCUUCGGGGUUAGAUACAUUUGUGCUAAGUUAUAGCUUUUUAUAGACAACUUGUUGACUAUAAUUAGUCUUGUAGCUUACUCGCUUAUGCUAUUUUACCUACGCUUAGGAUGUUGAAGUCAUCGUAUCGCGC